rnacentral:rRNA from 1 species
AACGAACGCUGGCGGCGUGCUUAACACAUGCAAGUCGAACGCGAAAUUUUUCUUCGGAAGAAGAGUAGAGUGGCGCACGGGUGAGUAACGCGUAAGUUAUCUACCUCGGCAUUUGGAAUAACUCACCGAAAGGUGUGCUAAUACCGGAUACGUUGAGUAAUCAAGAAAGGUGGCCUCUGAAUAUGCUACUGUGCUGAGAUGAGCUUGCGUACCAUUAGCUAGUUGGUGGGGUAAGAGCUCACCAAGGCGACGAUCUGUAGCGGGUCUGAGAGGAUGAUCCGCCACACUGGAACUGAGACACGGUCCAGACUCCUACGGGAAGCAGCAGUGGGGAAUUUUGGACAAUGGGGGCAACCCUGAUCCAGCCAUGCCGCGUGAGUGAAGAAGGCCUUCGGGUUGUAAAGCUCUUUCGGCCGGGAAGAAAUCGCAUCUUCUAAUACGGGGUGUGGAUGACGGUACCGGAAGAAGAAGCACCGGCUAACUACGUGCCAGCAGCCGCGGUAAUACGUAGGGUGCGAGCGUUAAUCGGAAUUACUGGGCGUAAAGGGUGCGCAGGCGGCGCCAUAAGACAGAUGUGAAAUCCCCGGGCUUAACCUGGGAACUGCGUUUGUGACUGUGGUGCUCGAGUGCGGCAGAGGGGGGUGGAAUUCCACGUGUAGCAGUGAAAUGCGUAGAGAUGUGGAGGAACACCGAUGGCGAAGGCAGCCCCCUGGGUCGACACUGACGCUCAUGCACGAAAGCGUGGGGAGCAAACAGGAUUAGAUACCCUGGUAGUCCACGCCCUAAACGAUGCGAACUAGGUGUUGGGGAAGGAGACUUCUUUAGUACCGUAGCUAACGCGUGAAGUUCGCCGCCUGGGGAGUACGGUCGCAAGAUUAAAACUCAAAGGAAUUGACGGGGACCCGCACAAGCGGUGGAUGAUGUGGAUUAAUUCGAUGCAACGCGAAAAACCUUACCUACCCUUGACAUGCCCGGAACCCUGCUGAGAGGUGGGGGUGCCCGAAAGGGAAUCGGGACACAGGUGCUGCAUGGCUGUCGUCAGCUCGUGUCGUGAGAUGUUGGGUUAAGUCCCGCAACGAGCGCAACCCUUGUCAUUAAUUGCCAUCAUUUAGUUGGGCACUUUAACGAGACUGCCGGUGACAAACCGGAGGAAGGUGGGGAUGACGUCAAGUCCUCAUGGCCCUUAUGGGUAGGGCUUCACACGUCAUACAAUGGUCGGUACAAAGGGUCGCCAACCCGCGAGGGGGAGCCAAUCCCAUAAAGCCGAUCGUAGUCCGGAUUGUAGGCUGCAACUCGCCUGCAUGAAGUCGGAAUCGCUAGUAAUCGUGGAUCAGCAUGUCACGGUGAAUACGUUCCCGGGUCU